CCUUGCCAGCCCGCUCAGAAACUCAAAUGAAUUGACGGGGGCCCGCACAAGCGGUGGAGCAUGUGGUUUAAUUCGAUGAUACGCGAGGAACCUUACCUGGGCUCAAAUGUAUGUUGACGUAUUCUGAAAGGGAUACUUCUUCGGACAAUAUACAAGGUGCUGCAUGGUUGUCGUCAGCUCGUGCCGUGAGGUGUCGGGUUAAGUCCCAUAACGAGCGCAACCCCUAUCAUUAGUUGCCAUCAGGUCAAGCUGGGGACUCUAAUGAAACUGCCUACGCAAGUAGUGAGGAAGGUGGGGAUGACGUCAAAUCAGCACGGCCCUUACGUCCAGGGCUACACACGUGCUACAAUGGCCGGUACAAAGGGCAGCUACCUGGUGACAGGAUGCUAAUCUCAAAAGCCGGUCUCAGUUCGGAUCGGAGUCUGCAACCCGACUCCGUGAAGUCGGAAUCGCUAGUAAUCGUGAAUCAGAAUGUCACGGUGAAUACGUUCCCGGGCCUU
rnacentral:rRNA from 1 species